GACGAACGCUGGCGGCGUGCUUAACACAUGCAAGUCGAACGGAAAGGCCCUGCUUUUGUGGGGUGCUCGAGUGGCGAACGGGUGAGUAACACGUGAGUAACCUGCCCUUGACUUUGGGAUAACUUCAGGAAACUGGGGCUAAUACCGGAUAGGAGCUCCUGCUGCAUGGUGGGGGUUGGAAAGUUUCGGCGGUUGGGGAUGGACUCGCGGCUUAUCAGCUUGUUGGUGGGGUAGUGGCUUACCAAGGCUUUGACGGGCAGCCGGCCUGAGAGGGUGACCGGCCACAUUGGGACUGAGAUACGGCCCAGACUCCUACGGGAGGCAGCAGUGGGGAAUAUUGCACAAUGGGCGGAAGCCUGAUGCAGCAACGCCGCGUGCGGGAUGACGGCCUUCUGGUUGUAGACCGCUUUCGCCUGUGACGAAGCGUGAGUGACGGUAAUGGGUAAAGAAGCACCGGCUAACUACGUG
rnacentral:rRNA from 1 species